rnacentral:rRNA from 1 species
AUUGAACGCUGGCGGCAGGCCUAACACAUGCAAGUCGGGCGAGCGGCAGACGGGGGAGUAAUGUAUGGGGAUCUGCCUGAUGGCGGGGGAUCACGUCUGGAAACGGUAGCUAAUACCGCAUACCAUCAGAUGAACCCAUAUGGGAUUAGCUUUUAGGUGAGGUAACGGCUCACCUAGGCGACGACCCCUAGCUGGUUUAAGAGGAUGAUCCGCCACACUGGAACUGAGACACGGCCCAGACUCCUACGGGAAGCAGCAGUGGGGAAUAUUGCACUAUGGGCGCAAGCCUGAUGCAGCCAUGCCGCGUGUAUGAAGAAGGCCUUCGGGUUGUAAAGUACUUUCAGUCGGGAGGCGUUACCGACAGAAGAAGCACCGGCUAACUCCGUGCCAGCAGCCGCGGUAAUAC